AAUGAACGCUGGCGGCGUGGUUAAGACAUGCAAGUCGAACGGUUUUCGUUGAAGGGCAACUGGAUACGAAAGCAGUGGCGAACGGGUGCGUAACACGUGAACAAUCUACCUCCAAGUGGGGAAUAGCUCGCCGAAAGGCGAAUUAAUACCGCAUGUGGUCGAGGCUCGCAUGAGCCUUGAACUAAAGUCGGGGACCGCAAGGCCUGACGCUAGGAGAGGAGUUCGCGGCCUAUCAGCUAGUUGGCGAGGU
rnacentral:rRNA from 1 species